rnacentral:misc_RNA from 1 species
UUCGGUCAUCGAGCGGUGGUGCUUCUGAUCGCAUUUAAGUGUGGGUUGAAUUAUGAAGCUGGAACUAUCAGAGAACACGGCUCAUUCCAAACGUAAUCGUAAAGUCAUGAAGAUUCUGUUGGCGAUAACCUGCCUGAUCGGAUUGGUCGCAACUUUCGAGAAAAACAAUCUCACUGUGAUCGAUCAGGUGUAUCUCGACAUUAUGAUAGACGAUCAUCCAGUGGGAAGAAUCGUCAUAGGGUUAUUCAGUGAUAUCGUACCUAAAACUACGAAGAAUUUUCUCACCUUGGCCACUACAGGGAUUGGGGGGAAAACUUAUAAGCAUAGCACGUUUCAUCGGGUGAUUAAGAAAUUUAUGAUACAAGGUGGAGAUAUAGAGAAUGGAGACGGGACUGGAUCGAUUAGCAUCUAUGGAAAAACGUUUGACGACGAGAAUUUCGAGAUUGGUCACAAUGCACCCAUGUACGUGAGUAUGGCGAAUGCAGGAAAGAAUACGAAUGGAUGUCAAUUCUUUAUUACGACUAUUCCUACACCCUGGUUAGACGGAAAGCAUACUGUGUUUGGAAAGGUGAUCGAAGGGCAGGAUGUAGUUUUUAAGAUCGAGCAGACGAAAACGGAUGCUGAUGAUGUGCCGAUUAAACGCGUGGUUAUCUUCGAAUGUGGUUCCAUACCUACCCCGUCUCCGUUUAAAGUGGAUGAUAAUAUUUAUAAAAAUGUAAAAAUUUAAGGUAUAUAUAUAUAUGUAUAUAUGAGCUUCAUCGUAAAUCGUAGUAUUUGAUUAUUGAUCUUGUAGAGAAAAGAAUGCAGUAGAAAAGGACAUAGUAUAAAAAGUAGAAGUAUCUGGGCAUGGAUAAAAGCAACAUCUAUACCAUUAGGUUUCAGCUUCUCGGUCCUGGCUGUGUUUCAUUAUAUGAUGAAGAAAUUAGAUGUGUAAUUAUAAUACACGUUGCAUAAAUUUACUUCAA